GGGUGAGCAGCAGAGCAAGUAUUGUACCUGGGAGUAACCACCGGAGCUUGCUGAGCAUCUGUCCCUCUGGGUAAAUCCUGACACUGGCCAGCAUGUUUCCAGAACAGUUAUUGGAAAGAAAACAAGUAUUCUGUCUGAAGGCAAGUUCUUGGCCUUCCAGUGAGAGCUGACCUGUGGUUAAGGGAUUCCAGUGCUUAAG